UAUUUUACAGAGCUGUCUGUGUCUUUCCUUCGUAGUCUCCCUCGCUACCUGGAGUAAUGCAAGGAGAUGGGUCAUGGAAGUGGCAGGUCCGCUGCACAAAUGACACCCUGUUUGACGGUAUCUGAGACACAGUAAAGGACAUGGUGAUCCAGAAGAUUGCAGAGCAUCUAAGCUUCCAGGAGGUUGUGAAGUUGUUCACCUUCAGCAGCCUGGCUACAACUGGAGGUCAGUAGUGACUUCCAUUUGCCUCUAUGAGCUCUUAGUGAGAAGUCUGGCCUGAAGGUAGGACAAGAGCCCCACCUACAUCAGGCCCAUUAUAUGAUUCUUUUUCUCACCCUGUGACCAAAUGUCUCACAUAAGAACUUCAAGGAAGAAAGGUUGAUUUUGGCUCAUGGCUUGAGGUGAUAGUCCAUAGUGGUGGCGAAGGCAUGGCAGCAGAUGGCUUCAUGGAUGCACUAGUGUGCUUCAGUAUUCCUCACACCCCCCCUUGUCAGAAUAGGAAGUAGAAGCAGGUAAAGCAUAAGUAAGACCAUUACCUGUAAAGCUGACCCCUAGUGAUCCACUUUCUCCAGCUAGACCCCGCCUCCCCAAACAGUAUACCAGUUGGGCACCAAGUGUUCAAAUAAAUGAGCCUGGGGGGCAUAUUUUACAUAUAAAGCAUAAUAUCUACUGUCUUAGGUAGGGUUUCUAUUGCUGUGAAGAGACACCAUGACCACGGCAACUCUGAUAAAGGAAAACAUUUAGCUGGGUGGCUUACAGUUUCAGAGGGUUAGUCCAUUAUCAUCGUGAUGAGACUUGGUGGCAUGCAGGUAGACAUGGUGCUGGAGUAGGAGCUGAGAGUGGAGAAAGAGCUACAUCUUGAUCCCCCAGGCAACAGGAAGUGGUCUGAGACACUGGGCAUGGCUUGAGCAUAUGACACACAACAAGGACACACCUACUCUAACAAAGCCACACCUCCUAAUAGUGCCACUCUCUAUGAGCUUAUGGAGGCCAAUUACAUUCAGACCACCACGCCUACUACCCCCCUCCAGCUCUGAAGUUGACAUGUAAGACAGAAAUGCUCAGGGUGCCAAGGCUGCCUCUGCAGUUUGUAGCUGGGAUCGGGGGUCUGUGUCACUGGGUCUGGACCCUUCCUUGUUCCUAAGAUACAAGGUACAGUGUGGUGACAAAAGUACAGACCUCAGGGCUUUACUUGGUUUAUUCAAACCCCAAUCUGUGGUUCAGUAAUAGUGGCCUUGGACAUCAUCUCUUCCCAGCUACUGUCCUCAUUUUAAAAUGCAGGUGGUGAAGAUGCUGACAGUCAUGGUUUGGGGAUAUGUAGAGAGCUGGGUGUGAAGGUGUGAGGCCUGUGUCAGGUUCAUGACAAUACACACCUGUGCUGUGUGUUAUCUGUCAGUAAUUAGAGUUCGACACAGGAAAGUGUUGGCCGCUCAAAACCACACACUUUUAACCUUGAGGACCGGAGCCACACAACUUUUUCAAGAAUGAUUUUUAUAGCUUCUGGGAGUCUUUUGGGGAGUUAAUCUGCUAAAAGAAUGGGGUUCAAGUAUAAUGUUCUGUGACACUGUGGGACCUGCCAUAGAAUCACCAGGCCAGGAAGAUGCCGCACUCCUUCAAGGCUCGCUGUGCUCUUGGAGGCUCCCAAAGCAUUGCUGUAGUAUAAAUUCCUUCAAGGAACCUCCAGCUCAGCCCCAGUUCUCUCUCUCCAGACCCUGCCCUGUCAGGAAACCCCACCAAGCGGUGGCUCCUCCUCUGAGACUGCCAGCUUCUCAAUCCCUGCCCAAAGCCUUAAUAGUUGGGCACAAACCCAGUGUGUGGAAGACCCAUCAUCACCCUCCUGAGACCCCCUCCCCAUAGGCCCCCAGGGUAUUUAAGCCCCUCCUUUUGGAUGGCCAUGUGAUUUCUUUUUCCUGCCCUCUUCCCCUGCAC
rnacentral:lncRNA from 1 species